rnacentral:rRNA from 1 species
UACGUAGGGGGCAAGCGUUGUCCGGAUUUAUUGGGCGUAAAGAGCGUGUAGGCGGUCAGGUAGGUCCGUUGUGAAAACUCGAGGCUCAACCUCGAGACGCCGAUGGAAACCAUCUGACUAGAGUCCGGAAGAGGAGAGUGGAAUUCCUGGUGUAGCGGUGAAAUGCGCAGAUAUCAGGAAGAACACCCGUGGCUAAGGCGGCUCUCUAGUACGGUACUGACGCUGAGACGCGAAAGCGCGGGGAGCGAACAGG